UACGGAGGGUGCAAGCGUUAUCCGGAUUCACUGGGUUUAAAGGGUGCGUAGGCGGACAGGUAAGUCAGUGGUGAAAUCUCUGGGCUUAACCCAGAAACUGCGGUUGAUACUAUUUGUCUUGAAUAUCCUGGAGGUAGGCGGAAUAUGUCAUGUAGCGGUGAAAUGCUUAGAUAUGACAUAGAACACCGAUAGCGAAGGCAGCUUACUACAGGAUGAUUGACGCUGAGGCACGAAAGCGUGGGGAUCAAACAGG
rnacentral:rRNA from 1 species